rnacentral:rRNA from 1 species
AGCAGCCGCGGUAAUUCCAGCUCCAAUAGCGUAUAUUAAAGUUGUUGCGGUUAAAAAGCUCGUAGUUGAAUUUCGGGAUCAAUUUAUUGGUCGUGCUAUUGUACGUACUGGUAUUAUUGAUUCCUACCUUCUGACGAACCAUGAUGUCAUUAAUUUGGUGUCUUGGGGAAUCAGGACUGUUACUUUGAAAAAAUUAGAGUGCUUAAAGCAGGCUCACGCUUGAAUACAUUAGCAUGGAAUAACGAAAUAGGACGUUUGAUUCUAUUUUGUUGGUUUCUAGGAUCGACGUAAUGAUUAAUAGGGAUAGUUGGGGGCAUUAGUAUUCAAUUGUCAGAGGUGAAAUUCUUGGAUUUAUUGAAGACUAACUACUGCGAAAGCAUUUGCCAAGGAUGUUUUCAUUAAUCAAGAACGAAAGUUAGGGGAUCGAAGACGAUCAGAUACCGUCGUAGUCUUAACCAUAAACUAUGCCGACUAGGGAUCGGAUGAUGUUAAUUUUUAAUGACUCAUUCAGCG